CAGAAAUGUGCAGAGAUUUUGAUUGGACUCCUUUGAUCUUGGCGCGGAGUCCCCCAGGUACAGGUUCGUUAGCUCUCAUUAGGAGAAGCAGCGUUUUCCUCUGGUGGUGCACGUCCUUGUACAGCUAAUUGAAGAACCAUCACAGGCACUUUAUUGCUUCGUUACUUUUCGCGGGUGCCUUGGAUGCCUACAAUGACCGACCAGGUUGGAAAUGAGCAGUACAGAACACAAAGAAGGGAAGGGACCAGUUGUUUAAUUAAUUAGCAACUGCUGAAGGAAACACUUUGCAUUUAUUUUUCCUUGCAGACGGUGCAAAACUGUGCUACUGGAUGAAAUUAAGAAAAUGAAAUCAAGAACUUGGCAAGUUGCACCAGGAGGCUGGGUCUGCAUUUGCAUAUCAAAGGCAGAGCUCCUGGAUGGAAAAUGUGCACUACUGUGAAAUGUGAUAGCGCUGUGCCCUGGGGUUCUGCUUUGGAAAGUGCUGAAAUGCGCAGUGCCAUUUGUGGAGGUGUAGGAAGCAUGUGAGAGGAUAUGGCACCUGGAGACUCCUGGCCAGCUACUGCCAGAGUGGGACCUGGCGAUGCAAGCUGAAGAUGGAUUUAGAUGCUGGAAGAGCUUUAUGGAGGAGAAAAGAGAAAUAGAGAAUGAGACGUGCGCCCCUACAGACACGGUGUUCAUUCCUCAUCAGCAAGGGACGGGUCUGCCUCAGACAUGGGAGAAUCUGCUGAUUGAAACAUCUUGCGCUGCCACCAAAGGGAGAUCUCCAGUUUGCAGAGAGAGGAAGAAGGGAAAUGAAGAAACUUGUGGAGGGGAAAUGCCAUGUCAGACACGGCCACUACUUAUUGUCCUGUAUUCAAAGGCCACCGGGCAGAAGGAAGUGUGUGUGGGAAGUGGGAGAGGCAGGAAUGAAACCUGAAAAGUUGCGUAUCAUGAUUGUGAAAGUGGAAAAAAGGAGUGUGAAAAGGGCAGGAGUUCAGCUGAGCUGGAUGUUUGCUGGCAAAAUGUAAAAGGGAAGAAACCCAACACGUUGGGAAUGAAACUGAGAGGGUAAGUGUUUCAAUCUGGUAGUAAUCCUGAGCUCUUGUCUGUCCUGGGUUCCAUGAUUCAUCAGUGAGGAUGGUGAGG
rnacentral:lncRNA from 1 species